rnacentral:lncRNA from 1 species
UUUGAUACCGCUUUAUACUCACGAUCUAGUAUCCACUGACUGUCUUGUUAGAUUAAUCCAAUAAAUUUCAUUCACUUUGCAUACUCAAUCCUAUAGACACCCUUUUAACUCUUCGUCACAGACGUAACUCGAUUUCACAAAACAAUCAAGAGUAAUCAAAUCCACUUCAUUAAAAAUCCCGAUUCACCAUUACAACACUGACUUCAGCAAUGAUUGCCUCAGUCUUCCCAAAAUCCUAUGAAGAAAGAAAAAAUCCAAUUCUCU